rnacentral:tRNA from 1 species
GAGAGAUAAAACAAGAACUGCUAAUUCACGUACCUGAAGUUAAAGCCCUCAGAUCCCUCA